GGCCAUUUUCAUUAUAUUUGUGCCGAAUGAAAAGAGAAAGAAAAUAAGAAAACCAAGCUAGGUAUUCGGCCCUUGUUCAAGCAAAUUAAGAGUUCCAAAGACUUGCUCGGGCUGGAAGUCGUUGGAGUCAUCAUCACACUAUUCGGUUAUCGUUUCGGUAAAUUAAGGCUUUGAAGUUUUUGGUUAUGUGGCAUGUAUAGGCUAGUUUUAAUUUAGUUGUUGUAUAUAUAUUUAGCCAUGCGAAAAUGGCUUGAUCUAAUGCAAAUGAUCCGAGGUUUAAGUAAUUUUGGUCAUAGUAAAGGUGUGGGGUAUACUUAGUAUAUGAAUUUGGUAAGACUUAAUGAUAUAUAUAUGGUUUAUAAUUA